UCCAGUGUGUAGUGUUCACGGGACGGGACUGUCUCGUCUUCGUUCCUGUUGUCGGUUUGUUGUUUUUGUUCGGUGUGUAAGUAUUCCCCUUAAAUAUGGAUUUUCAUCACGUUGCAUUUUGGUCCUCCUCUCUUUCACCCGAAGACAGUCGUUACAAGUGGCAUUUCUCUUUUCCCUCGGUCACACCACAGUCUCGCGGCCAGGGUCAGGGUCUGAGAGCUGGCUGUCUGAGGAGGGUGGUCUGGUCUGCUCCUCCCCUCCCUCUCCUGUGUCUGAAAACUGCAGUGGAGGCCCAGAGGGAAGCUGAAAGGGCUCAGGGAAGGCAUGGAAGUGGACAGGAGAUGGCCCCAGCUCUGUCUCGCCUGGGAUGCCAGAUGAUGCUGACUGAGUUGGCUUGCUGACCCUGAUGUCCUCAGCUCAGCCUCGAUGUAGCCUGGACUUCAUUCUCCUCCACGUCCAACGUCCGUGUAGCACACACUUGGGCGAUGCCUCUGCCACAGCGCAAUAAGCCCACCACGCAUCAGUCCUAAGUUGUCCACUACGGUCCUCACUGGGAGCGCUCUGCUAUUUCCACACUGCAGUCGGGUCUCAUUGAUCAAGAAGCAGCCGGUGCUGAGAUUUAAAUGCAUGCCAACAUUAGCCAGCUAGCAAAACCAGACAAAUCAAUCUGCCAUCAGUCCUGCAACUCCGUGGGUAAAAAACAACCAGAUAUAUACAAUCAACAAUUCAAUGACUUAUCAAAAACUAGAAUAUGUACAACAUUCCAGAGCUCUCUGUUUAGGCUGCCUUACGACGCGUUGGAAACCACAGAACCAGUAUCCCUGGAUCAUGUGUAGUACUUACCAUAGAAUUGUAGAAUACUGUGGGGGCUUUCGUUAAUUCACUCUGGCUAUCUAUUACAAUUUCAGAGCACUCUCGUCUGAGUGCGCCAGAGCGCAGAAUAACUGAUGAAUUUACAAACGCGCAACACCCGUUGAAUAUAAAGGUUGGCAAAAAAAAAAACGAAUUCAAUUGUCAGCAACACAGUCACCAACGCUCUAUAUAACGUGAAAACAGCCUAACCAGCUCUGCUAGGGCAAGAAAAGGUCAGAGUGAGGUGUUCUCUCAUUUGUGUCUGGAAGUAUCUAGCAAGCUAGCCAACUUUAGCUUGUUAGCUUGAAUGCCAUUGCGGGGUCAGAAUGCUCAGGUCAAUCCUACUCCUCAGCCAAAGCGUCCAGUGUGCACUCUGAACAAAAUGCUCUGAAUUUAUGAACUGACAACAAUCUGAAUUUAUGACCGCCCAGAGCCCACUUUGGCACUCCAGUGGGAAUAAGGAACACACCCAUUAGUACACGCUGUAGUAGUAUUCCUCAAUUGUGUAGUUCUUACGCUAUCAUUUUGUAGUAUACUGUACAAUACUACACAACAAAUUAUCCAGUGUUCAUUUUUUAUUUAACUUUGAGCGUGUUAAAUCAACACUGAAAGUGUUGCGUCUGUGGACCCAUAUAGACACCUGAACAGUGUUGAAUUAAAUCACACUGCUUAGUGCCUUGCCUUUUCAAGUAAAUUGUAGAGUUACAUGACUGUAUUUGUUAGUGACAGAGACAUGGUUGUUGCAUUCAUCCUUUUUUGGCCCCAUUGGCUUCACGAAUAUGUUACUAUAAAAAAAAAAUAUUUUGAGGGCCUCGUUUUAUCCUAAUACAGGGGCCUGAAUCUCCUACAUAUCACUUUGAACCAAAACCACUGUCACCUUCGUGAUGAGAGACGGACCAGGGCGCAGCAUGAUUUGAGUUCCACAUUUUAUUUCACGGUGAAACUUCCAAUAAAACAAACAACGAAACGUGACUUACCUGGUGCAACAAGCACAUACAAACAAUAUCCCACAACCCAGGUGGGAACAAUGGAGAACUUAAGUAUGAUCCCCAAUUAGAGACAACAAUUAGCUGCCUCUAAUUGGGAACUAUACAACAAAACAAACAUAGAAAUAGGAAAACUAGAACAUCCCCCUAGUUACGCCCUGUCCUACAACACCAUAGAGAACCCCCAGGGCUCUCUAUGGUCAGGGCGUGACAGGGCGUGACAUUUUAUUGCCUUAGUACCUGACUUGCAAAUCUUAGACCACCUUUUUUGCAAAAAAAUUAAACAAAUGUCAUCAGUGAAUACAAAAUUCAUUGUUUUGUGUUUGGUUGACAUAAUAAUAAAGGUGCAUAAAUGGCUCCACCAUUUCCUGGUUGCUAAAAUUCUAAUAGUUUGCCUGAUUUCAGUUUUGUUGACAAAACAAGCAAUGCAUAGUGUAAGGAAUCAUUGCACCAUCUAAACCGCCGUGAAAUAUCUUUUCAAACACCAGAAAUAUUGUAUUUUCAGCUGUUUGAAGCAGGUAUAUAAAACCAAAAGUAAAAGACGCAAAAAACGAAGCUUAAAAAACGUGAAGCAUGGAAAUAGUUCACAAAGAACAAAUCUAACACUUCUUACACCUUGCUUUUAAUGAGAAUGACAAAUCUAUAACUCACGUUUACAUGUGAAUUUGGUCGGGUAACCCAAAAAGUUACAUAUUGCAGCUUUAACACAUUGUUUUCAUCAGAAGAGAAAUGUGUACAAUUGUAUUCACUGUUUCAGGCAAUAUGUACAUACUACUGCACAAAAUUCUAAAUCAUCCAAUCACUGUCAUAUAUGGAAAGACCUAGGCAAUGGUGACUGUCCAAUUGUUAUGAUCUUUUAAAAUUUCGCAGAGAUGCAGAGAAUGAAGUUGGUUUACUUUUAAGUAACUUUGGGUUACUCCUAAAUCCUCGUGUCCAACAUUGUGACCUUCCUUAGAGCUUUUCUUUGGUGUGGAUUUAGGCCUAUACAUUUAUAUCCUUGUGUUUCUCCACUGUGUUCACCAAUCCUUAGUUCUAUUGUGGAUUGUGUUUCUGUGCGCCAAUGGAAAGUCUACAAAACUAUGAGCAAACAAAACGUUGUAUUGAAUACAUGGAAUUGAGUUGUGAUGAUACCGAUGAAUGAAUCCUGCACACAAUGUGUUUAUUUUUGAUUAAAUGUUUUUUUUAAACCGA